rnacentral:misc_RNA from 1 species
GAUGAAGAACGUAGUGAAAUGCGAUAAGUAAUGUGAAUUGCAGAGUUCAGUGAAUCAUCGAAUCUUUGAACGCACAUUGCGCCCGUCAGUAUUCUGACGGGCAUGCCUGUCCGAGCGUCAUUUCAACCCUCAAGCACUGCUUGGCGUUGGCGGAUUGCGUGCCCUCGCCGCGCUGCAACCGCCCAAAUACAGUGGCGGUCCCGCUGCGGCUCCCUUUGCGUAGUAACUCACCUCGCACUGGACCGGGCGGCGGCCUGCCGUAAAACCCCAACUCACGAAAUGUUGACCUCGGAUCAGGUAGGAAUACCCGCUGAACUUAAGCAUAUCAAUAAGCGGAGGA